UCAAGUGAUAAAGGGCUUAUAGAGGAUACCUAGGCAUUUAGAAGCGAAGAAGGGCGUGGCUACCUGCGAAAUGCUUCGGGGAGCUGGAAGCAAGCUUUGAUCCGGAGAUACCCGAAUAAGGAAAC
rnacentral:rRNA from 15 species